CCUACGGGAGGCUGCAGUGGGGAAUAUUGCACAAUGGGCGCAAGCCUGAUGCAGCCAUGCCGCGUGUGUGAAGAAGGCCUUCGGGUUGUAAAGCACUUUCAGCGGGGAGGAAGGCGUUAAGGUUAAUAACCUUGUCGAUUGACGUUACCCGCAGAAGAAGCACCGGCUAACUCCGUGCCAGCAGCCGCGGUAAUACGGAGGGUGCAAGCGUUAAUCGGAAUUACUGGGCGUAAAGCGCACGCAGGCGGUCUGUCAAGUCGGAUGUGAAAUCCCCGGGCUCAACCUGGGAACUGCAUUCGAAACUGGCAGGCUAGAGUCUUGUAGAGGGGGGUAGAAUUCCAGGUGUAGUGGUGAAAUGCGUAGAGAUCUGGAGGAAUACCGGUGGCGAAGGCGGCCCCCUGGAGAAAGACUGACGCUCAGGUGCGAAAGCGUGGGGAGCAAACAGGAUUAGAUACCCCGGUAGUC
rnacentral:rRNA from 1 species